CUCCAUUAAAAUCUACAAUGCGAACAAGAAUAGGAAAUGGAGGAAAUUAAUCCAGUGGAAAAAUCUUGCUGGCAUUCCUGAGCAAAAUGGUGGCAAGAGUUGUGGUUAUUGGAUCAUGCGUUACAUGAAGGAGAUAGUGGAAGACACAAAUUUGGAGUUUGCUACUAAGUGGGAUAGAAGAACAAAUCUUGUUUACACAGAAAAGGAUAUUGAUGAAGUUCGGGCUGAAUGGGCGAAGCAUGUUAUGAAGUUUGCACAAGUGUAGUGCGCACAAAGAGGAUCUGUGGUAUAUGCAUAGUUAGGGCUAG